rnacentral:misc_RNA from 1 species
AGCAGCCGCGGUAAUUCCAGCUCCAAUAGCGUAUAUUAAAGUUGCUGCAGUUAAAAAGCUCGUAGUUGAAUUUCGGGAUCAAUAUGUUGGUCGUGCCUCGGUACGUACUAGCUUAUUGGUUUCUCCCUUCUGACGAACCAUGAUGUCAUUUAUUUGGUGUUAUGGGAAAUCAGGACUGUUACUUUGAAAAAAUUAGAGUGUUUAAAGCAGGCUCACGCUUGAAUACAUUAGCAUGGAAUAAUGAAAUAGGACGUUUGAUUCUAUUUUGUUGGUUUCUAGGAUCGACGUAAUGAUUAAUAGGGAUAGUUGGGGGCAUUAGUAUUCAAUUGUCAGAGGUGAAAUUCUUGGAUUUAUUGAAGACUAACUACUGCGAAAGCAUUUGCCAAGGAUGUUUUCAUUAAUCAAGAACGAAAGUUAGGGGAUCGAAGACGAUCAGAUACCGUCGUAGUCUUAACCAUAAACUACGCCGACUAGGAAUCAGACGAUGUUAAUUUUUUCAAUGACUCGUUUGGCACCUUAC